AUUUUCCUUUAUUUUUGGGCUCAGCCCAUUUGGUCUCCAAGCUUAGCCCGUGCAUUGAAGCCCAGCCCCUUUAUUUUCUCCCCAACAGCACCAUUUAGUCUCCAGUCCUUAGGGCUUUCUCCAUUUUCUUUCCUUCCCUUUUUCCUUCUUCAGCGCUGCUACCUCCUUCUUUCUCUUCUCCAUUCGUGUUCUUCUUCUCCUCCUGCAAGCCAAUGGUUUCUUCUUCUUCUUUAUUUUUUCAGCUUCUUCUUCCUCUGUAAAUCGGUGGCCACAACUCUCUUUCUUUUCUUUCAUUUUCGUAUUAUUUCCUCUGUUUUGUGCAUGGUACCGCUGCUCUUCUUCCCCUCCUUCUUCUUCAUUUUUUCUUCUUUUCUCAUCUCCUACUAUUCGGUCCUUGCUAUGAGCAUCCAUGCUGUCUCUCUCUCUCUCUCUAUUUUUCCCUUGGAAUUUCUGAAAAUUUUAGCCUGCCCUUGCAUUUCCAUUUCUUUUCCCCAUCGUGCCCUCUUUAUUUCCCGAAAUCAUGCUCUGUUCUUGGCCAAAACCGUGCACCCAUGCUCGAGUUUCUUGAUUCUUUAUUCAUCUCUAUUUCCACUUUUCCUUCCUCAAAUUUGUGUGCUUUUAGUGCCCCUAUUUUUUCCAAAACCAUGAGCUUCACUUUGGAUUUUGUUUGUUUAUUUUUGCUAUUGCCGUGAACCUCUUUCUUUUCAGCUAUCAUUUUAUAGUUUUAUUUUAGUAAAUUAGCCCUUUUAUUUCACAAAAAUUUCCUUGUUUUCCAAACCCAUUUUCAAUCUAAAAAAUUCUGAUUUUUGGUAAUUUAUUUUCAAGCUCGCUUUUGGAGUUAAACCAAGUGCUUGACCUUUCAGAAACUUGCCUUUAGUAUCGUGAUGAGGAGGUUGAACUUGACGAUGCGGUUCUGCCAGAAGAGUGACCCAAGGUGGCUUUCCCAUGUAUUGGGAUUUAUUUUACACUCAUUUAUGUAUUUUGGUCUUUAUAAUAUAUUUUUUUAGGGAUAACUGUAUAAUUCUUUUUAAACGCUUUUAUUUUAAAAAUUUAUAUUUAAAAAAUUCUGAUACUUAGUUGAUUGACUUAA